rnacentral:lncRNA from 1 species
UUAGACUAAUGCUGUAACAUAAAAGGUCGGUUUCAUAUACAUGUAGUUUAAAAUUGACCGAAGCCUUCGGGAUCCUAGCUUAAAUCCUGCAGGUGACUUAAUAGUAUGUCAAUCUAAAGAUUGCUUCCGAACUGAUUGGAAAAGGAAAGAAAAAUAAUACAUGUUCAUCAGAAUAAUUCGUUAUUCUAUUUGAAAUACGAAAUACCAUUUAUGUAUCAGGUCCUUUUAAUGUUUUACUUUAUCGCUCUUUCACAAUGAAUUGAUUAUCCAG